rnacentral:rRNA from 1 species
UACGUAGGGUGCAAGCGUUAAUCGGAAUUACUGGGCGUAAAGCGCGCGCAGGCGGCGGUGCUGGCCCGGCGUGAAAGCCCCCGGCUCAACCGGGGAGGGUCGUCGGGGACCGCACCGCUUGAGGGCGGUAGGGGCUGGUGGAAUGCCUGGUGUAGUGGUGAAAUGCGUAGAGAUCAGGCGGAACACCCGUGGCGAAGGCGGCCAGCUGGGCCGUCCCUGACGCUGAGGCGCGAAGGCGUGGGGAGCGAACGGG